AACCUGAGGUGUUCGAUAAUUCUUGUUGUUUUUGAACCUACAUUUACUUUAAACGGGACUCCUAUAUUGUCAGGCAGCUGUCAAGCCCUCACUCGUAAGAGGAUUGGAAGGGAAGGCAAAAAUCUGAUUGCGGUAACCCACCUAGCGUGCGCUAGGAGUCAAAAGACAAGAACCGGCAUCUUGGGGAU
rnacentral:other from 1 species